rnacentral:rRNA from 1 species
UACGGGGGGGGCAAGCGUUGUUCGGAAUUACUGGGCGUAAAGGGUUCGUAGGUGGCUGGCUAAGUCAGACGUGAAAUCCCUCAGCUUAACUGGGGAACUGCGUCCGAUACUGGAUGGCUUGAGUUUGGGAGAGGGAUGCGGAAUUCCAGGUGUAGCGGUGAAAUGCGUAGAUAUCUGGAGGAACACCGGUGGCGAAGGCGGCAUCCUGGACCAACACUGACACUGAGGAGCGAAAGCCAGGGGAGCAAACGGG